rnacentral:rRNA from 1 species
GACGAACGCUGGCGGCGUGCUUAACACAUGCAAGUCGAACGGAAAGGCCCUGCUUUUGUGGGGUGCUCGAGUGGCGAACGGGUGAGUAACACGUGAGUAACCUGCCCUUGACUUUGGGAUAACUUCAGGAAACUGGGGCUAAUACCGGAUAGGAGCUCCUGCUGCAUGGUGGGGGUUGGAAAGUUUCGGCGGUUGGGGAUGGACUCGCGGCUUAUCAGCUUGUUGGUGGGGUAGUGGCUUACCAAGGCUUUGACGGGUAGCCGGCCUGAGAGGGUGACCGGCCACAUUGGGCCUGCGAUACGGCCCAGACUCCUACGGGCGGCAGCAGUGGGGAAUAUUGCACAAUGGGCGGAAGCCUGAUGCAGCAACGCCGCGUGCGGGAUGACGGCCUUCGGGUUGUAAACCGCUUUCGCCUGUGACGAAGCGUGAGUGACGGUAAUGGGUAAAGAAGCACCGGCUAACUACGUG